CACGAAGCGCUCGAGGCCUCUCGCUUCUUCCUCUGGAUCUCGAUCUAUUUCGCCCGACGAAGAAGUCCCUCAUUGUCUCUAUCUUUGUUUGGAUCGAUCACCGUUGACUGGAGGAGACAUGGCGGAGCAACUCACCGAUGAGCAGAUCUCGGAGUUCAAGGAGGCCUUCACCUUGUUCGACAAGGAUGGCGAUGAUUGCUGGAUUUCUCCGAUGAGGCAGACACGUGAAGAGAGUGGUCCAUGAGCUUAAUUGUUGAUAACUGGAAGCAGUAGUUUUCUGCUCUCUUUAUGAUUGAUUGUGUCCUUGUUUGUUGUCCACUCCGUGUGAUCCAUUGGCUUCCUGUUUCGAGAGCAUCUCUUAAAAGACUUCUUGAUUCUUUGGUAGGUUUUGGUUUUAGACAUCUAUUGCAUACCUCCUGUAAUUUUUGUUUGGGAUUAUAGUUCAAAGUGGAAAAAAGAAACUAAUAGGUAAUGGAAACCAUUUGCUUAUUCUGGACCACUCUGUAUCCAAUGGAAACAAUUUGCAUUCUUAGGGCUUAACCUUGCUUUUCAGUUGUGUACCUCAAGAUAGAUACACUUCUGAUGGAUGAGGAGUUCGACGAGAUGAUCCUCUAGGCCAAUGUUGAUGGUGAUGGCCAGAUUAAUUACGAGGAAUUUGUGAAGGUCAUGAUGGCAAAGUGAGUCCUUAUAAGAUUCAAUAAAUGCCAGAUAUAAAAAAUCAUUACACACAGAGUAGGAAACCCUUAUCCUAUUCGCACUUGAGUCAGUGUUUGUGUUUCAUGACCGUCUGAUCUUUGUUCUCGUUGACCUGUUGUUCAUUUAUUUCUGACUUCUCAGAAAUCUAUAUAUAGACCGAUAUGUACUUCAUGUCUGUCAUUAUCUCAGCAGGUGUGCCCUUGAAACAAUGAAGAUGUCCUGUUGCUUGUCUCCAUGCCCAUAUACUAUCAAAUACAAGCAAUUCUUAUCUCAGAUCAUGGCUCCUGAGUUCUAAGACAUACUCAGUAAAACAAGGCACCUUGAAUUACUUGCUCAGGUCUCACUAUCCUCUGUAUGACUCUGUGAUGCUUCAGAAGACUCUGACCACCACC